rnacentral:rRNA from 1 species
GAUGAACGCUGGCGGCGUGUAUAAUACAUGCAAGUCGAGCGAAGGGGGGACGGGUGAGCAAGAAGUGGAUAGCCUCCUAUAAGACUGGGAUAAAUUCGGGAAACCGUAGCUAAACCGGAUACGGAUACCUGGAACCGCGCUUCAUUAGCUAGUUGGUAAGGUAACGGCUUACCAAGGCAACGAUGCAUGGCCGACCUGAGAGGGUGAUCAGCCACACUGGAACUGAGAAACGGUCCAGACUCCUACGGGAGGCAUGAGUAUGGAGUCUUCCGCGAUGGGCGAAAGUCUGACGGAGCAACGCCGCGUGAGUGAUGAAGGUCUUCGGAUCGUAAACCUCUUUUAUUAGGUAAGCGGUACCUAAUCAGAGAGCCACGGCUAACUACGUGCCAGCAGCCGCGGUAAUUC